AUUGAACGCUGGCGGCAGGCCUAACACAUGCAAGUCGAGCGGAUGAAGGGAGCUUGCUCCUGGAUUCAGCGGCGGACGGGUGAGUAAUGCCUAGGUAUCUGCCUGGUAGUGGGGGAUAACGUCCGGAAACGGGCGCUAAUACCGCAUACGUCCUGAGGGAGAAAGUGGGGGAUCUUCGGACCUCACGCUAUCAGAUGAGCCUAGGUCGGAUUAGCUAGUUGGUGGGGUAAAGGCCUACCAAGGCGACGAUCCGUAACUGGUCUGAGAGGAUGAUCAGUCACACUGGAACCGAGACACGGUCCAGACUCCUACGGGAGGCAGCAGUGGGGAAUAUUGGACAAUGGGCUAAAGCCUGAUCCAGCCAUGCCGCGUGUGUGAAGAAGGUCUUCGGAUUGUAAAGCACUUUAAGUUGGGAGGAAGGGCAGUAAGUUAAUACCUUGCUGUUUUGACGUUACCAACAGAAUAAGCACCGGCUAACUUCGUG
rnacentral:rRNA from 1 species